UCCAUUGAUGCACCUUCGGAGCUUCACAAAUUCAUACCAAAACUCAAAUCACCCUCUAAAUCUUACACUAAACACUUCCACCUCCUUGAAUCCAAGAAGAUCUUUGGAGUUUGAUCUUCAAAGUUAGAAAGAGAAAGUUUGGUUUUGGGUGUAAGUUUGGGCCCGAGCGAGACAAAGAAGUAAGUUGCCUGAUUUCUUUCCAGGAUUAGCAAAGGACUUCAGGCUAAGCGAGGAGCGAGAUUGGUCUGGUGCUGGUGGGGAAAUUGUUGAAGGAUGUAUUUACUUUAUCGUAUUUCCAUUUUGACGAUAAAGUCUUGAUGAUUGAUAUACUUUGAUUUUCUUUUGAAAUUAAGCAAUGUACUCACGGUUAUAUGUCUUCAUACAUAUAAUCGG